rnacentral:rRNA from 1 species
UACGUAGGGGGCAAGCGUUGUCCGGAUUUAUUGGGCGUAAAGAGCGUGUAGGCGGCUUGGAAGGUCAGCUGUGAAAACUCGAGGCUCAACCUCGAGACGUCGGUUGAAACCACCUGGCUAGAGUCCGGAAGAGGAGAGUGGAAUUCCCGGUGUAGCGGUGAAAUGCGCAGAUAUCGGGAAGAACACCCGUGGCGAAGGCGGGACUCUGGGCCGACACUGACGCUGAGGUGCGAAAGCGUGGGGAGCAAACAGG